CAGCAGCCGCGGUAAUACGUAGGUGGCGAGCGUUGUCCGGAAUUAUUGGGCGUAAAGGGAGCGCAGGCGGACAUAUAAGUCCAUCUUAAAAGUGCGGGGCUCAACCCCGUGAGGGGAUGGAAACUGUAUGCCUUGAGUGUAGGAGAGGAAAGCGGAAUUCCCAGUGUAGCGGUGAAAUGCGUAGAUAUUGGGAGGAACACCAGUGGCGAAGGCGGCUUUCUGGACUGCGACUGACGCUGAGGCUCGAAAGCCAGGGGAGCGAACGGGAUUAGAUACCCCUGUAGUCCCUGUCUCUUAUACC
rnacentral:rRNA from 1 species